CCGUACUAGAUGGGGAACUAGCGGUGCCCUGUAACCUGCAACCCGCUACAGCAGGAUCGAUGCCCGGCCUAGACAUUUCUGCAGUCUGGUCUGCCUUGGGCAAGUAGUGUUGACAAAUGGGUCUUACGCAACAGAAAUCUAUGAACCUCGUCAGGUCCGGGAGGAAGCAGCGAUAAGUAGACCCUUUUGUGUGCCGUGAGGUCGCCUGUUUCGAGCUAACUACCCAGGUACCGCAGGAGGCGGAUCUGGCAAAGCCGGGUGUACGG
rnacentral:SRP_RNA from 1 species